CGCAUGCACACGAGAUGUUCACUCACAGAUGCAAUCAUCUAGAGAUGUACUUAAGAGCUACUGUGAGUGUUCAGUAAAUAACUUCCUGUGAGAAAAUGUAAGCAUUUAAUGUACGACAUCUGAAUACAAAAAAAGCUGUUUUUUUUUGUUGUUACUUUGGAGCUCAGCAUCAUUUUCAAUUUAUUACGAAGGUAAGCAAAUGGCACAUUUUUACUUUUGAAUGAAUCAUUGGGUCUAAAGGGACCAUAUAUUUGAUUUGAGAGCUAUAUUGAAUUUUCAGUGAAUGAAUGCUUAUGUUUUGCUUGUUUCUCACAGAAUGAACAACAUCAGAAGAAUUCUUUUUUUCCCAUUUCAGUCUGAAAUUGGAUUUUAAACAACAUGAGGGAGUUACUGACAAAAUUUUCAGUUUUCCUAAAUUGCUUCCAAGCCUUGGGAGUUUCCAUUUACUUCAUUACCUUAUAUUAGUGAUGAAAGAAAGCUGAGAACAGAUGGAAAGUUUAUAUACUACAUCUGAAUACACAAUUGUUCUUGUGAUUUUGGAGCUUAACCAGUUACUUUCUGAUUCAUGGACAAAAAAAGAAUCAGUGAGAGCCACAAGUAAAAGUUAGGCUGACCCCCUAAUUUCCUC